rnacentral:rRNA from 1 species
CGUCAAAGCUUAACUACCACGCACUAUAAAUCCCUUAAACAAAUUAAAACCCUACGCCAAUACUGAGUAAUUCUAUAUUUUUAUAGAAAAUAUAAUGUUAAAACUAGUAACAAGAAGUCAGUCUUCUCUAAAAUGUAAGUGUAAGUCAAAAUGGAUAUUACGCUGACAAUUAACAAUAUUAAACCACAGUACUAACCUUACUCAAGAAAACUAUACUAUUAUACUUGUUAAACUAACACAAGAACAUUUAAAGAAAGACUAAAAGAAAAAGAAGGAACUCGGCAAAAAUUGAUUCCGCCUGUUUACCAAAAACAUCGCCUCUUGACGAAAUAUAAGAGGUCCCGCCUGCCCAGUGAAAUAUUUAACGGCCGCGGUAUCCUAACCGCGCGAAGGUAGCGUAAUCACCUGUUUUUUAAUUAAAAGACCUGUAUGAAAGGCAUCACGAGAAUCACACUGUCUCCUCUAUCCAGUCAGUGAAACUAAUCUUCCCGUGAAAAAGCGGGAAUUCUAAUACAAGACGAGAAGACCCUUUGGAGCUUAAGACACUAUUAGUACAUGCUUACUAACUUACCCAGUACAUUAUAACAUACUACUUAUGAGUCUUAGGUUGGGGCAACCACGGAGCAAAAACAAACCUCCAUGAUGAACGGAACUUUCCUAAACAAAAAGCCACAACUUCAUGUAUCAAAAAACUGACACCAUUAGACCCAACAUUUUGAUUAACGAACCAAGUUACCCAAGGGAUAACAGCGCAAUCCACUUCGAGAGUUCAUAUCGACAAGUGGGCUUACGACCUCG